GCAUGUGUGUCUAUUUUUUUUUUUUUAAAUUUAAAGCGUACUUUCCCCAAUGCUGCUCUGUCCCUUUAAAUGCAGAAACUGCUGGGACGUGGCAUCUCUCUUGCCAAGCAGCAGCAGGAGAACAGCAGAGGGUUGGCAUCAGCUCCAAAAGGCAGCCAGCGAGAAAUGUGGCCACCACAGAAUGGCUGCAUUUCUGGGCUGCUCUGAAGUGACCUCUCUCCAGCAGGAGGAAGCUUCUGCACGAAACCCAGGUUAUAGAGGGUAGCAGAAUUCAGAUGAUACAACCUCAGGUUUCAGCAGUAAAACGCACUGAACCAACCAGGGUUCACAUUCAGUUUGGGAGUGAAAACUGAGCUGCAGUUGGGUGAUGAAGUUGCGGCUUCUUGCUUUCGGACAAUCACAAACUCCAACCUCUGGCACAUUUACCUCUGGUUUGGCAUUACGUCCAAAUGGGGACAUUGUGUUGGCUGGUAUCUGGUUGCACAAAGUGGCUAAACAGGCAUAUAUGUUCCUUUUUACUUGGAUGUCACAGUGAAUAAUGGGAACUCUAGUCAUGCUUCCUUUCCAGUUUUGAUAGAAAAGAAAAUAUAGCCAAUGGCAGCAGUGCAGCAGCAAAUACAUUGAGGUGAGGAACACUGAGAGAAGCAAUUGGCGCAAGGUCAGCCACGGCAGAAUUUUUGGAACUUACAAUCUUUCUUACUGUUGUUCGACUUCUGGGAGUAAGGCAAACCCUUGCUGACCCACAGCAAAUGAUGCAGAGAUCUACCAGUAAAUGCUGAUAUGCCACCUGCCUUUUGGUUUGCAAACUUAAUGAGCAGACAUCCCCAGCAUGGAGGGAAUGCAGAGGCGGCUGUUGGCAAGGAUGAGAAAAACAGCAUUUGCAGACCAACAUCCAGAGAAGCUUCCUGACCAAGAAGAAUAGACUUUUUCUUAUUUUUAAAAUGUUAACAUAUAAUAAAUAUUGUAUUGUUGGUAACAAUAGUAGAAUAUUAGAAAUAUUAUUAACACUUUAAAGUUUUGUUCAUAACUAAUAAAAUUAUUGGGAGAAA